AGCAAAUAAAUAAGGGCUUAUGGUGGAUACCUAGGCAUCUAGAAGCUAUGAAGGGCGUAGCUACCGACGAAACGCUUCGGAGAGCUGGAAGCAAGCAUCGACCCGAAGAUACCCGAAUGAGGAAACUUUUUAUACUACCUAUUGAAUCUAUAGAUAGGAAAGAGCGAACCUAGUGAACUGAAACAUCUUAGUAACUAGAGGAAAAGAAAGCAAAAAGCGAUUCCCGUAGUAGCGGCGAGCGAACUGGGACCAGCCUAAACUAUUUAUAAUUAAAUAGGGUUGUGGGACAUCUUUUAUAAAAUGGGAUAAUUAAGCGAAUCAACUGGAAUGUUGAGCCAUAGACGGUGAAAGCCCCGUAGUUAAAAAUUUGAAAAUUUUAGAUGUAUCCCAAGUAGCUUGGGGCACGUGAAACCCCUUGUGAAUCUGCGAGGACCACCUCGUAAGGCUAAAUAUUCCUAGAUGACCGAUAGCGAAAU
rnacentral:rRNA from 1 species